AGAGUUUGAUCAUGGCUCAGAUUAAACGCUGGCGGCAUGCCUUACACAUGCAAGUCGAACGGCAGCACGGGGGCAACCCUGGUGGCGAGUGGCGGACGGGUGAGUAAAGCAUCGGAACGUGCCCUGGAGUGGGGGAUAACGUAGCGAAAGUUACGCUAAUACCGCAUAUUCUGUGAGCAGGAAAGCAGGGGAUCGCAAGACCUUGCGCUCUGGGAGCGGCCGAUGUCGGAUUAGCUAGUUGGUGGGGUAAAGGCCUACCAAGGCGACGAUCCGUAGCGGGUCUGAGAGGAUGAUCCGCCACACUGGGACUGAGACACGGCCCAGACUCCUACGGGAGGCAGCAGUGGGGAAUUUUGGACAAUGGGCGAAAGCCUGAUCCAGCCAUGCCGCGUGAGUGAAGAAGGCCUUCGGGUUGUAAAGCUCUUUCGGUGGGGAAGAAAUUGCAUGGGCUAAUACCCUGUGUAGAUGACGGUACCUGGAGAAGAAGCACCGGCUAACUACGUG
rnacentral:rRNA from 1 species